CCUACGGGUGGCAGCAGUGGGGAAUAUUGGGCAAUGGGCGCAAGCCUGACCCAGCAACGCCGCGUGAAGGAAGAAGGCUCUCGGGUUGUAAACUUCUUUUAUCAGGGACGAAGCAAGUGACGGUACCUGAUGAAUAAGCCACGGCUAACUACGUGCCAGCAGCCGCGGUAAUACGUAGGUGACAAGCGUUAUCCGGAUUUACUGGGUGUAAAGGGCGUGUAGGCGGGAAAGCAAGUCAGAUGUGAAAACCAUGGGCUCAACCUGUGGCCUGCAUUUGAAACUGUUUUUCUUGAGUACUGGAGAGGCAGACGGAAUUCCGAGUGUAGCGGUGAAAGGCGUAGAUAUUAGGAGGAACACCAGUGGCGAAGGCGGUCUGCUGGACAGCAAAUGACGCGGAGGCGCGAAAGCGUGGGGAGCAAACAGGAUUAGAUACCCCGGUAGUC
rnacentral:rRNA from 1 species